rnacentral:lncRNA from 1 species
CACAUAACCAAAGAAAGUUUCUAUCCAAAAAUAAUUUACAAUUUUUACAGCUAGAACACUUUAUAAUCUCAGCAGGAAGCAAAUAUUUAUAGCUGGACCAUUAAGAGAGAUGAAUGAUUGCUUAAUAUACUUUAAUGGAUUGCUGGUCGGCAACCUCACAUAUGAUGCUUUCUAAAUGGGAGGAUUGGAAGAUUUAGAGAACAGCACCCCUGGCAAAAUAAGGUUGGUGCUGAACUGCUGAAUCCUUUUGACCAGUAGUCUUUGGAUACAGCUUGAGAAGUUACUGGAGUAACAGAUUAUGUCAGCUAAAGUUUAGAACAACAGCUGAAGAUGUCAGAGGAAAUGAGUAAUCCUUACUUGGAGAGGGAAAGCAGGUAGAUGACGCCUCCUACCAGAAAGUGACAGUGGUAAAUACAUUAUUCACUAUUCCUCUCUUUUGUUAAGGCAACAUAUAUGGUUAUGGCAUUCGCUCUUCGUGAACAUGAGUAAGCUGACAUGUAAUGAUCAUGUUUUAAGUAUUGCUUUACUCUCUUUUGCAGUAUACAUUAAUCUCAAAUUUGGACAGUCUUUUUAUAUAAAACAAAAAUAAAUUGGCAACACUAACCUUGUUUUCUUUUUCAGAUUUCUAGUGAUUUACCUCUUUAAAAGCAUCUUGACUGUCAAUACACUAAGUGCAAUUUUAACCUGUCAACAUUUCAAAGAGUGGAAAUAUUUAUGAAACACCGUUUCAUAGGAAAAUUUGAAUUAAGACUUUUAUUCUAGGAAGACAGUUAAACCCUGUGUGUAGUUUUCACAAAAUUCAGUUCCAGUUUGUCCUAGUUUCCUUGGUCAUGGUGAUUUAUUAGGUGGAACCCUGCACUAUGUCAUCAAAUGAGAACAACUGUUGAAAAAUAUCCUGCCAGAUUUGAUUUAGGCCAACUAUUAAUGACAGCAAGAGAAUAUAUUGAGCCAUGCUGGGUGAUGUGGUUGGACGCUUUGCAUUUCGAAGGAAGUAAGAACGGCUUGUUAGACCAUCUUCAAAUGCCAUUAUUGUGGAAAGUGGCAAUAGAAAUCCCCAAGAAGAUGCAUAUUUAACUUUUAAAAUAACUCUAGUAACAUUAUUUGACAUUUUUCCUUAAAAAAAAAAUCAC